rnacentral:rRNA from 1 species
CGACGCCGCGUGAGGGAUGACGGCCUUCGGGUUGUAAACCUCUUUCAGCAGGGACGAAGCGCAAGUGACGGUACCUGCAGAAGAAGCACCGGCUAACUACGUGCCAGCAGCCGCGGUAAUACGUAGGGUGCAAGCGUUGUCCGGAAUUACUGGGCGUAAAGAGUUNGUAGGCGGUUUGUCGCGUCGUUUGUGAAAACCAGCAGCUCAACUGCUGGCUUGCAGGCGAUACGGGCAGACUUGAGUACUGCAGGGGAGACUGGAAUUCCUGGUGUAGCGGUGAAAUGCGCAGAUAUCAGGAGGAACACCGGUGGCGAAGGCGGGUCUCUGGGCAGUAACUGACGCUGAGGAACGAAAGCGUGGGUAGCGAACAGGAUUAGAUACCCUGGUAGUCCACGCCGUAAACGGUGGGCGCUAGGUGUGGGUUCCUUCCACGGAAUCCGUGCCGUAGCUAACGCAUUAAGCGCCCCGCCUGGGGAGUACGGCCGCAAGGCUA